CAGCCGCCACGGUAAUACGGAGGGAGCUAGCGUUGUUCGGAAUUACUGGGCGUAAAGCGCGCGUAGGCGGUUAUAUAAGACAGAUGUGAAAUCCCCGGGCUCAACCUGGGAACUGCAUUUGUGACUGUAUAGCUAGAGUACGGCAGAGGGGGAUGGAAUUCCGCGUGUAGCAGUGAAAUGCGUAGAUAUGCGGAGGAACACCGAUGGCGAAGGCAAUCCCCUGGGCCUGUACUGACGCUCAUGCACGAAAGCGUGGGGAGCAAACAGGAUUAGAUACCCGCGUAGUCCCUGUCUCUUAUAC
rnacentral:rRNA from 1 species